rnacentral:rRNA from 1 species
UACAGAGGUCUCAAGCGUUGUUCGGAUUCAUUGGGCGUAAAGGGUGCGUAGGCGGCGCGGUAAGUCGGGUGUGAAAUCUUGGAGCUUAACUCCGAAACUGCAUUCGAUACUGCCGUGCUUGAGGACUGGAGAGGAGACUGGAAUUUACGGUGUAGCGGUGAAAUGCGUAGAUAUCGUAAGGAAGACCAGUGGCGAAGGCGAAUCUCUGGACAGUUACUGACACUGAGGCACGAAGGCC